GACGUAGGGGGCCAGCGUUGUUCGGAAUUACUGGGUGUAAAGGGUUCGUAGGCGGUGUGGCAAGUCGGGAGUGAAAUCUCUGGGCUCAACCCAGAGUCUGCUUCCGAAACUGCUGUGCUUGAGUGUGGGAGAGGCGCGUGGAAUUGCAGGUGUAGCGGUGAAAUGCGCAGAUAUCUGCAGGAACACCCGUGGCGAAAGCGGCGCGCUGGACCACUACUGACGCUGAGGAACGAAAGCUAGGGGAGCAAACAGG
rnacentral:rRNA from 1 species